rnacentral:lncRNA from 1 species
CUUUGGUUCAGGUCAUGAUUUCAUGACAUCAGGGUUCUGAGAGCGAGCCCAGUGUUGGGCUCCCAUUCAGGGGGUCUGCUUCUCCCUCUUGCUCUCCCCUUAUUCGUGCUCUCUCACUCAAAUAAAUACAUAAAAUCUUUAAAUAAAAAUCAACUUCAGAAGCUUUAUUAUUGAGUGUGUUAGAAAGAAUUUCUGAUUGGCAAAACUAGUGGAGUUUAAGUUAUGUGAUUGUUAGCAUCUGGGCAUCUCCAUCAUUGCAGAAACAACGUAUAUACAAGGAUCUAUUCAGGUCAGUAGUUCCUACCAGGGGGACAGUUCUUACCAGAGGAGCAUCUGGUGCUACACCUCUCCCAUCAGCGGAUGAUCCUAUCAUCGGAUCUGACCAAAAGGCCUGACCCUCCCUCCAGCAGAAUAUGCCUGUCUUCAUCUUGGAGACAGCCUUUCAUGAGGAGACUAGUCAUUGCAUCAGGGGUUGAGACUGGUAAUAUUCCAAGCAUAUACAGGCUGCAUGAUCAGUUUUGUGUCUGCUUGCCUGCAAAUAUUUGUUUAGAAUAACGUGGUCUGAAAUGUGCUUUUGCUACAACAGCCAGGUAAAAAGUGGUGUUUUGGAAACCCAGAGAUGACACACCAUGUAACUACUGAUAAAGUUCAAAAUUACCUGACAUUCGUGGAACAGAAACCUGGGAAAGAAGAGAGCCCCUGGGGAAACAAACAGCAUGUACAAAGGACCAGAAGAAUAAAAGAAGCUGAAAUGUUUGCACAACUGACAUGUCGUAUAACAGAAGCACAGCCAACGAAGGGAAGAAAAAACCUGAAGAAAGAAACCAGCUCAUAAACCCUGAAAAAAAGAUUUUAUUGCACUUAAGUUAUAAUGAGAAGAACUGAGACAUGAUAAGAGGACAAAUAACGUGGUCCAGCUUUUGUUUUUAAAAAGAAUACUCUAGAAAAGAAAGAAGGGAAGGAAGGAAAAAGAAGGAAAAAGAAUGCUUUGGUUAAUGUUUGCGGAAAUGAAAUAUUCUGACAAUCCUUUUGUAAAAAGCACCAUCUCAAGGAGUUAUUUACAUUAAAUAUUUUCAGGGGAAUUGUUUUUUUCUAGUUUGCAAUUUCUCUUUUAAAAUAUUUGCAUUAGGGGCACCUGAGUGGCUCAGUGGGGUAAAGCCUCUGUCUUCGGCUCAGGUCAUGAUUCCAGGGUCCUGGGAUCCGAGCCCCGCAUCACAUCGGGCUCUCUGCUCCGCAGGGAGCCUGCUUCCUCCUCUCUCUCUGCCU